UACGUAGGGUGCAAGCGUUAAUCGGAAUUACUGGGCGUAAAGCGUGCGCAGGCGGUUCUAUAAGCCAGAUGUGAAAUCCCCGGGCUCAACCUGGGAACUGCAUUUGUGACUGUAGAGCUGGAGUACGGUAGAGGGGGAUGGAAUUCCGCGUGUAGCAGUGAAAUGCGUAGAUAUGCGGAGGAAUACCGAUGGCGAAGGCAAUCCCCUGGACCUGUACUGACGCUCAUGCACGAAAGCGUGGGGAGCAAACAGG
rnacentral:rRNA from 1 species